ACUCCUACGGGAGGCAGCAGUGGGGAAUAUUGCACAAUGGGCGCAAGCCUGAUGCAGCCAUGCCGCGUGUAUGAAGAAGGCCUUCGGGUUGUAAAGUACUUUCAGCAGUGAGGAAGGUGGAUAUGUUAAUAGCAUAUUCAUUUGACGUUAGCUGCAGAAGAAGCACCGGCUAACUCCGUGCCAGCAGCCGCGGUAAUACGGAGGGUGCGAGCGUUAAUCGGAAUUACUGGGCGUAAAGCGCAUGCAGGUGGUUUGUUAAGUCAGAUGUGAAAGCCCGGGGCUCAACCUCGGAAUUGCAUUUGAAACUGGCAAACUAGAGUACUGUAGAGGGGGGUAGAAUUUCAGGUGUAGCGGUGAAAUGCGUAGAGAUCUGAAGGAUACCGGUGGCGAAGGCGGCCCCCUGGACAGAUACUGACACUCAGAUGCGAAAGCGUGGGGAGCAAACAGGAUUAGAUACCCUGGUAGGUGUGC
rnacentral:rRNA from 1 species